AGUGAACGCUGGCGGUAGGCCUAACACAUGCAAGUCGAACGGCAGCACAGUAAGAGCUUGCUCUUACGGGUGGCGAGUGGCGGACGGGUGAGGAAUACAUCGGAAUCUACUUUUUCGUGGGGGAUAACGUAGGGAAACUUACGCUAAUACAGCAUACGACCUACGGGUGAAAGCAGGGGAUCUUCGGACCUUGCGCGAUUGAAUGAGCCGAUGUCGGAUUAGCUAGUUGGCGGGGUAAAGGCCCACCAAGGCGAGGAUCCGUAGCUGGUCUGAGUGGAUGAUCGGCCACACUGGAGCUGAGACACGGUCCAGACUCCUACGGGAGGCAGCAGUGGGGAAUAUUGGACAAUGGGCGCAAGCCUGAUCCAGCCAUACCGCGUGGGUGAAGAAGGCCUUCGGGUUGUAAAGCCCUUUUGUUGGGAAAGAAAAGCAGCAGGUUAAGACCCCGCUGUUCUGACGGUACCCAAAGAAUAAGCACCGGCUAACUUCGUG
rnacentral:rRNA from 1 species